rnacentral:rRNA from 1 species
CCUACGGGAGGCAGCAGUGAGGAAUAUUGGUCAAUGGGCUUACGCCUAAACCAGCCAAGUCGCGUGAGGGAAGACUGCCCUAUGGGUUGUAAACCUCUUUUGUCAGGGAGCAACGCCGGCUACGUGUAGCCGGACUGAGAGUACCUGAAGAAAAAGCAUCGGCUAACUCCGUGCCAGCAGCCGCGGUAAUACGUAGGGGGCAAGCGUUAUCCGGAAUUACUGGGUGUAAAGGGAGCGUAGACGGUGAUGCAAGUCUGGAGUGAAAGGCGGGGGCCCAACCCCCGGACUGCUCUGGAAACUGUGUAACUUGAGUGCAGGAGAGGUAAGCGGAAUUCCUAGUGUAGCGGUGAAAUGCGUAGAUAUUAGGAGGAACACCAGUGGCGAAGGCGGCUUACUGGACUGUAACUGACGUUGAGGCUCGAAAGCGUGGGGAGCAAACAGGAUUAGAUACCCUUGUAGUC